AAAAAGCAAAAACAAAAAGCAAGAACCCUCCGGCUUCCACUCCCGGACCCGAGAGAGGAAGAAGAGAUUGGAGUUUAGUUUGUGUUGAACCGAAACCAAUCCUACGUGAUUGUUUUCAAAUUGAACAAGUAAUGAAUUAGGGCUGCCCAUUCUACAAUUUGAAUUCUCUGCAUGCUCGAUCAGGCAAGCGUUUAGCCCUAAUUAGGGUUCGGACAUUUCCAAUUCUCUCCUAUCACCUUCACCAACUCCAAUUCGCAGCUAUGACUGAGUAUUGGGUUAGCCAGGGCAACAAAUGGUGCGACUUCUGCAAAAUCUACAUAUCAAACAAUCCAUCCAGCAUUAGAAAUCAUGAUCUUGGUCAACGUCACAAGGAUAAUGUUGCCAAGAGGCUUGAUUCUAUGCGAAAAGAGGGCGUUGCAAAGGAAAAGGCCCAAAAAGAAGCAGCCCAAGCCAUUGAGCAAAUCGAAGCCAAAGCAAAACGUAGCUAUCAAAAGGAUAUAGCAAAUUUCCAAGAGGCCAGAGAAUCUCAUGCCCAAGCAUUAAAUGCUCAAGAUGAAGAAUGGGAGUUUGAUAGCACUUCAGGCUACUAUUACAACCAAAGCAAUGAUUUCUACUAUGACCCAAACUCAGGCUUUUACUAUUCUGAUGCAAUAGGCAAGUGGGUGACACAGGAAGAGGCAUAUGCCACGCCUCAGCUUUCGUCAAAUUCUAAACAUAGAGUACCCACUUCAAAAAAGCCACCGGCAGCUUCUGUGGCAGGAUCCAUUACAGAAAAUAAAGGUGCUGCUAAAGUUCAAAAUGGGCCAGCACCUGGGCCUGUUGUUUCAGCUUCUUUAAACCCCAUGAGAUCUGUUAAAGGUGCUCCAUCAUCGCUUGCUGUUGGCAAGAGAAAGAGGCAAGAUAUGAAGCCGAAGGCUAUAUCCAAAGAAGAAGCAGCUGCACUUAAAGCAAGGGAGGCUGCAAAAAAGAGAGUUGAAGAUAGAGAGAAACCAUUGCUUGGUCUCUACAAGCCUCUUUGAUUUGGACACUGAAGCAAUAUCCUCUGCUUGAUUCAAGGGGUACUUGAAUUUGUUUGAAGACGUCAUUUUGACAAAAGAAGGGCAUAUUCAACCCAGUUUUUUUUUUCCUACAAAACGUGGCCCAAAGUGUCGACUUCUGAUCCGCUGUUGGUGUAUUCCUGUUUACGAUCAAGAUGAACUUGCCGAGUAAACAAUAUAUAUUUGCUUGGAAACUCCUUGACCAUGAUAGAUCAUAACACCAUCCCGACUUUUAACACCCUACAGAAUACUUCCGAGGUCAAAGAAACUGAAUGAUGAACUGCAGAGAAACAGAGAUGCAAAUAUGAGCUCCAAAACUCAUCUUGAUUUGGGUUUCGAGGAGCAAGAAGAUGCUUAGAAGAGAAAUAAUUGUUCUCUCUUGCUCUUUCUCUCUAUUUUGUUUUGUUUUUUGUUUUUUUCCUUUUUCUUUUAUAACUUU